UUCAUGGAGAGUUUGAUCCUGGCUCAGGACGAACGCUGGCGGCGUGCCUAAUACAUGCAAGUCGAGCGGACAGAUGGGAGCUUGCUCCCUGAUGUUAGCGGCGGACGGGUGAGUAACACGUGGGUAACCUGC
rnacentral:rRNA from 2 species